UUACACAAUUAGAAGUUUAGAACAUUAUCCCUUCCAAUACAGAGACACGUACACUUGCAGCCACUCACUUCAUCCAUUCGAUUUCUCUCUUCCAAUCCCUAACCCCUUACGAUUUUGAUUUCUAAGUAUGCUUAUCUUCUAUCUACUUUGGAUUCUCACUCCCAAAUUCUCUUAAUUGUGCGGUUCCUUCCAAACCCUAUCGUGAUUUUGAUUUUCAAAGUUUACGUUAUGAAACGCGAGCGAAACAAAACCCUUUGCAGUGCGGUGACAGAGAAACGACUGCAAGUUCGAUUUCGCCGUUCACACCUAAAUCCUCUGCGAUGGCUGCCUUAAAUUCUUCAACAGACUGUGUUGAGGUCAUUUUCGGGUUGUUAAGUUGGUUUGAAGUUCUGCAAGGGAUAUCAAUUAGCAAGAGAUGGUACGAAAUUCAUUACGGUCAGCACCUCCCAGCCUUAGGCGCUACAAAGCGACUCAGAAACUAGAGAAUGGUGACAUGAGCGCAGGCCAUACGAUGGCACAAUGAUCACGUGAGGUUUUUUUCUCUUAGUGUUAGUUGAUUGAUUUAUUUGUUAAAAGAUCCCUCAGCUUUCAACAAAAUCCAAUGGCAGAACUUGAUUCAUAGAAAGUAAGGCAAAACUUUUCAUAUUGUUUAGUCAAUACUUAAUGUUCAAUGUUGGUUGUUUUUAUUCAUAUGAAGUAAGGCUAAGCUUUUCAUAGAAAUUAAGGCAAAACAUUGAUGCAUUAUGUUGGUUGUUCUCCUUCAUAGACACGUGCCACAACUAAAAUUUGACUGCACCUUGGAUGAAGCACUUGUCCUUCGUUGGUGUCUGAACUACUAAUCAAGAUGGUCACAUUCUAGUGGAAAUGGAUACUAGGGUAUGUGUCAAAUGGCUCGAAGGCAAAAUUGAAGUAGCUUCCACUUGAAAUGUUAUGUUAGAUUGUUGUGGAAUUUUAUCUAGUUUGUCUAAUCGUAAGGUAAUUUUUAUCAAAAUGUAUAAAGAAUGUUGAUGCUUGUAGUGUAGCCCCCAAACAAUUUGGUUUGAA